rnacentral:rRNA from 1 species
GAUGAACGCUGGCGGCGUGCCUAAUACAUGCCAGUCGAGCGAACAGACGAGGAGCUUGCUCCUCUGACGUUAGCGGCGGACGGGCGAGUAACACGUGGAUCACCUACCUCUAAGACUGGGAUAACUUCGGGAGACCGGAGCUAAUACCGGAUAAUAUAUUGAACCGCAUGGUUCAAUAGUGAAAGACGGCUUUGCUGUCACUUAUAGAUGGAUCCGCGCCGCAUUAGCUAGUUGGUAAGGUAACGGCUGACCAAGGCAACGAUGCGUAGCCGACCUGAGAGGGUGAUCGGCCACACUGGAACUGAGACACGGUCCAGACUCCUACGGGAGGCAGCAGUAGGGAAUCUUCGGCAAUGGGCGAAAGCCUGACGGAGCAACGCCGCGUGAGUGAUGAAGGUCUUCGGAUCGUAAAGCUCUGUUAUUGGGGUAGAACAAAUGUGUAAGUAACUAUGCACGUCUUGACGGUACCUAAUCAGAAAGCCACGGCUAACUACGUG